rnacentral:tmRNA from 1 species
GGGGGCGAUCUGGGUUCGACGGGGGCCAAGAAGCUUAAGCUGCAUGCCGAGCGUCCUGACGGCUCGUAAAACCAGUCAGGGUUAAACAUAACCGCAGACGAUUACGCUUACGCUGCAGCCGCCUAAAACCGGCUGCCGCCUUGCCGGCGAUUUCCCGCUGAGCCGGUAAAGGCGUCGGGAUUGCGGGAUAGCUUUUCGGGAACGCCUGCUUCCCGAAGGGCGAAUAAUUUUGCAGGCUAGCCCAGAGGGAAUCCCGCUCGGGUGGAGUCCUGAGGGCGAAAGUUAAAAACCCGAGCUAAGCAUGUAGAGGCUUAAGUGGAAGGCUCUCGGACGCGGGUUCGAUUCCCGCCGCCUCCACCA